CGUCUAUAUACGUAUAGCAUAUCAAUAAGCGGAGGAAAAGGAAACUAACAAGGAUUCCCUUAGUAACGGCGAGUGAAGCGGGAAGAGCUCAAAUUUGAAAUCUUCAAGGUUUUACCUUGACGAAUUAUAGUUUAAGGAAGUGUUUUCUGUUGAAGUUUUGGUAAAAGUUCUUUGGAAUAGGACAUCAUAGAGGGUGAGAAUCCCGUAUUUGGUUAUUCUUUCUAGCUUUGUGAUACACUUUCAAAGAGUCGGAUUGUUUGGGAAUGCAGUCCAAAAUGGGUGGUAAAUUUCAUCUAAAGCUAAAUAUUGGCGAGAGACCUGAUAGCGAACAAGUACCGUGAGGGAAAGAUGAAAAGAACUUUGAAAAGAGAGUUAAACAGUACGUGAAAUUGUCAAAAGGGAAGCGUUUGACACCAGUGUUGUUUUUCCGAAAAUCAAUUAAGAAUGGCUUGAUUUUGUGUUGUAUUGACCUUAUCAGCUUUCUUCACUCUUUUUCGAGUCUUUCUUAAUGCACUUUUCGGUUAACAAGUCAACAUCAAUUUCUUUUGUUGUAAAAGGGUAUUUGGAAGGUGGCUUUCUUUUCGGAGAAAGUGUUUAUAGCCUUAUACCUCUACAAUCGGAGAGAUUGAGGUCUGCAGCGUAGAUCCUUCGGGGCUAGAUACACUUGUGCUAAGUUAUAGCUUUUCAUAGACAACUUGUUGACUAUGUUUAGUCAUGUAGCUUACCCGCUUGUGCUAUUUUACCUACGCUUAGGAUGUUGAGUCAUCACACAUCUCU
rnacentral:rRNA from 1 species